rnacentral:lncRNA from 1 species
UGUUGAGUGAGGAAAAGUAAAAGCGCUUGGAGUGUGUGUGUGUGUGUGUGUGUGUGUGUGUGUGUGUUUCCACGUUCAGACAAAUGAAAGGUGGAGCAGUGGUGAGAGAGAGCAGACAGUCCAUUGAAUUUGGACCCACAAAGGCCCCCUGCAAGAGCUGCUGGUGUUUGCUCCCAAAUUGCAGAGUACAUGAAGACAAUGUGUUUCCUGCUUUCCAGGGCAUAGGUUAGUACUCAUGGCCCUGGGCCUGGGCAUUCAGCCACAUCUGUUGGCCCUGCCACGUACUCAGGGGUGGGAGGGGAAAGCAACUUCUGGGAAUGGCUUCCUGUUCCCUGCUCCUGGAGCUAAGUCCAAGAAAAGAAAAAGAAACCAAUUUCACCUUUUCCUCUAAACGUCAUUGUUAUUGACACAACCGUCUGCAAUGAUCAAUUAAGCAAAUCUGAAGACUCAAAUGCUUUUAUGCUUCUUAUUUAAAAGUUGCUUAGAAUUUAUUCCCUAAUUCCAGAUGAGUUACCAAAAGAGAACGUUUAAGUGACUUCUCCAAGAUCACUGGACAAGGGGGUGGGUCCAACCCCUACAUACGUAGCACAUACAACUGGCCUGAUUGGAGGGACCAUCCAAGAAUCUUCCUCCUCCAUAUUCUCACACAACUCUCUGCCCCUUUGCAAGUGCCUACACUUUCCAGAAUUGAGAGUCAUUCCUCAGUGUCUUGAGAGUCCCUUUAUUCAAGUCCAAAUCCUAGGGCAGGAAUUGCACUUGAGCUUUUAUCAACAAUUUACCUAGUGGAACCUUCUGCCUCAUACCUCUUUCUGAGACAGAUGUCUGGAAGCCAGGCCUUCUGGGGAUAAGGCAGGAAUGGGAUGCUUCACCCUAUUGUGGGAGAAGAGAAGACUGGAGAUGGGAAUUUGCCAAAAACAAACCUUGUUAGGGGCCUGUGCUGCUUCCAGCUGGAUAGCUAUCCCACACUGCAGCUUUAUUAAUUAAUCUUCCUCUUGGGAGUGUGUUUUAAGUACCAAGCAAUAAAAUAGUCUGGGAGUUGACAUGUUUAAUUAAAUUGAGGUUUAUUUCAACUUAUUUACUAUCUUCACUGAUUCUUUUACCUAUCUCUGGUCCCCAAACAUAAGCAGCCCCAAGGACUGGCCCUGGCUCCUUUUUUCUAUACACUGUUAAUUUGGAUCACUCUCACUCUUUCAGGUUUAAGAAUCACAAUUGGGAGGCCAUACCUCCCAAGUUUGUCACUAAUUCAGGAGCCAACAAACUUUCUCUGUAAAGGGCCAGAUAGUAAAUUUGUCAGGCUUUGCAGGCCAUGCAAUCUAUUGCAACCACUCAACUCUCCUAUUGCAGCAUGAAAUCAGCCAAAGACCAUAUGUCAAUGAAUGGGCAUGGCUGUGUUCCAAUAAACUUUAUGAACAUUGAGAUUUCAAUUUCAUGUAAUUUUCACUUGUCACAAUAUAUUAUUCUUUGGAUUUUUUUUUUCCCAACCACUUGACAGUGUGAAAACUAUUCUCUAGCUCAUGGACCUUAGAAAAGCAGGCAGUCAACCUCUGUUCUGACCAAUACCUUUCUCCAAGUUCCAGGCCUCCUGCUCUCAAAAAUGCCCUCAGACUUGAAGUUUCUAAUAUGAAAAUUGCUCUGUCUUUUACCCACCCCACAAAACAGCUGUUCUUCUUGACUUCUUUGUCUUAGGAUACCAGAAUUCUCCCAGAGUCCCAGCUGGAACUCCAAGGGUUUCCUUGGUUUCCACUUGUCAUCCCUUAUGCCAAACCAGUACCCCAAUCCCAUUGCUGACCCACAUGCAAUGCAUCCAGCAUCUGUCUCUCUCUCUCCUGUCCUCAAAGUUCUGUAUAUCCAAAUUAAUUUUCCUAAAGCAAGAUUUUUAUUAAAGAACACACUUCAAGGUCUCUACUGUUUCCUGCACACAGUAACCCAGCCUGCAGCACCCUGCACUUAUAUAUAUAUGCAGUUUUCCCUUUGAGGGAGUUUUCUAGUUUCAUCUUCCACUAUUUUCCUACACAGAUUUUCUGUGCAAACAAAAAUGACUUGCCUUCAACAGGUGAAAUUAACAUGCUGGGGUCAGGCAGGGAGUUCCUACCUCUAUGCCUUUCUUCUUGAUCUUUUCUUCUGUGAAAUCCUUUUCCUGCACCCCUGGACCUAUCAAAAAGUUCAUGACCAACCAUACUGAGAUACCACUUCACUUAUACUAGGGUGGCUAUCAUAAAAAGACUGACAAUAACAAGACUUGACAAGGAUGUGGAGAAAUUGGAACCCUCCUAUGCUGUUAGUUGAAAUGUAAAAUAAUACAGCUGCUUUGGAAAAACAAUCUGGCAGUUCCUCAAAAGGUUAAACAUAGAGUUACCAUAUGACCCAGCAAUUCUACUCCUAGAUAUACACUAAAGCAAAAUGAAAACAUAUGUCCACAUAAAAACCUGUACACAAAUAUUAGUAGCAUUAUUCACAAUAGCCAAAAAGUAAAAACAUCCCAAAUGUCUGACAACUGAUGAAUGGAUAAACAAAAUGUGGUCUAUUUAUACAAUGAGAUAUUAUUAGUACAAAAAAUGGAGCUGGGCACGGUGGCUCACACUUGUAAUCCCAGCACUUUGGGAGGCCGAGCUGGUCGGAUCAUGCGGUCAGGAGAUGGAGACCAUCCUGGCUAACAUGGUGAAACCCCAUCUCUACUAAAAAUACAAAAAAUUAGCUGUGUGUGAUGGCACGCGCCUGUAAUCCUAGCUACUCGGGAGGCUGAGGUAGGAGAAUUGCUUGAACCCGGGAGGCAGAGGUUGCAGUGAGCCAAGAUCAUGCCACUGCACUCCAGCCUGGGCAACAGAGACUCUAUCUCAAAGAAGAAGAAAAAGAAAAAUGGAAUGAAGUUUUGAUACAUGCUAUAAUAUGGAUGGACCUUGACACCAUUAUGCUAAGGAAAAGAUGUCAGACACAAAUCCCCACAUGUCAUAUGAUCCUAUUACUAUGAAAUGUCCAGAACAGAAAAAACUAUAGAACUUGAAAGUAGAUUUGUGAUGGGCUGGGGUGGGAGUGAGGGGUCAAGAGAAAAUGGGAGUGACUGCUAAUGAGUAGAAGGUUUAUUUUAAGGUUGAUGAACUAUUUGAAAAUUGAUUGUGGUGAUGUUUGCACAACCCUGUGAAUACACUAAAAAUCAUUGAAUUGCAACUUUAAGUGAAUUGUAUGGCAUAUGAAUUAAAACUCAAUAUAUAUUUUUAAAAGGCUCGUGGCCAAACCAGAUCAUUGUAAUUUGACCUUUAAAAAUAUUAUUUUUAUUUUGUAACUAUCUGUUUUAUUCACUUGACAUUAUAUUUUACUUUGUAAUUUUUUUCUGCCUAUAUUUUAAUUUUCCAACUACACUGUAAACUCAUACUUUCAUAUACGUGUGGGUGUAUGUAUAUAAAUAUGCUUGUGUUUGUUGAUUUAAUUCAGGAGACAAUUCUGAGUAGUCAAAAUAAAGUACAAUAAUUUAAAUUACUAGAGCUGAAGACUAUAGGAUGUCAACUGUGGAUACAACUCACAAGCUACCAUAUUGAUGUGACAUGAUGAAGUGGGAAGGAAAGCCAUCUGGAGUUUCACUGGUGAAUUGAUACAUCUUGCACUUAACAUUGUGUAUCCCCUGGACUUUGAUCAAAUGGACAUGGGCUUUCUGAUCUACUGCAGAGUGCCUGGAAAUUCAGGCUCCUAGGAGGAAGGAACUUGCAUUAUCUCAGGUGAGACUUUGGACUUGGACUUUUGGAUUAAUGCUGGAGUGAUAUAAGACUUUGGGGGACUGUUGGGAAGGCCUGAUUGUGUUUUGAAAUGUGAGAACAUGAGAUUUGAGAGGGUCCAGGGGUGGAAUGAUAUGGUUUGGCUGUGACCCCACCCAAAUCUCAUCUUGAAUUGUAAUCCCGAUAAUCCCACCUGUUGAGAAGGGGCCUGGUAAAUGAUGGGAUCAUGGAGGCAUUUUCCCCCAUGCUGUUCUCAUGAUAGUGAGUUCUCAGGAGAUCUGAUGGUUUUAUAAAUGGCAGUUUCCCCUAAGCUUUUCUCUCUCUUCUGCUGCCUUGUGAAGAGGUACUUGCUUCUCCUUCACCUUCCAUCAUGAUUGUAAGUUUCCUGAGGCCUCCCCAGCCAUGUGGAACUGUGAGUCAAUUAAACCUGUUUCCUUUAUAAAUAAGUCAGUCUCAGCUACUUCUUUAUAGCAGUGUGAGAAUGGAGUAAUAAACCAUCCAUGACAAUAUUCUUUGAUUUUUACCUGGUUCACUAAUUUUAACUUAGUUAUAAUUUUAAAUAAUUAUAAGUAAAGAUCCUUCCUGAUUUCCAGGUGAUAAACUGGGGCACAGAAUCGUUAUUCAGUCCAGAAAGAGGAAGAAAAAUAACCCAGGGGGAUGCCAGUCUGAGGCAGCCACUUCCAGAGACUGUGGGCCAGCUCUGAGAAAUGUCCAGAUUAGAUAAACUGUAUCUGGAAAGAUAAUCUUGUCCCAUGACUGCAACAGACCACUUGAAUUUACCUGCCUGGUUUAUUCAGAUUUUAUGCCUAGAAAUCCCCGGAAUACACCAGAAAAUCCCAAGUUGUUCUGAGACUGAGUACCUAAAGUUGCUGGGUCAAGAGAGUAUUUUUUUAAAUGAAAGACACUUGAACAUAUCUCUAUAUUAAGUGGUAGAGGCAGAAGAGAGAAAGCAAUUAAAGAUAGAGGAGAAACAAUAGCCACAAGCUAGAAACAACUCAACCAUCAUGAAAAUGCUUAAACAAAAACUGCUGCAUCCAUACAAUGGAAUACAACUCAGUAAUAAAAAGGCACAAUCAACUGCUGCUACCCACAAAAUGGAUGACUUGUAAAAUCAUUAUGCUGAGUAAAAAAGCCAGACACAAAACAGUACGUACUACAUAAGUACACUUACGUGAAAUUCUAGAAAAUGCAAACUAAUUUAUAGUGACAGAAAGGAGAUCAGUGGUUGUCUAAGGUUAGAAGCAGAGAGAAAGGAAUGAACAGCAAAGAGGCACAAGGAAACUUUUGGAGGUG